UGGGGAAUAUUGCACAAUGGGGGAAACCCUGAUGCAGCGACGCCGCGUGAAGGAAGAAGUAUCUCGGUAUGUAAACUUCUAUCAGCAGGGAAGAUAGUGACGGUACCUGACUAAGAAGCCCCGGCUAAAUACGUGCCAGCAGCCGCGGUAAUACGUAUGGUGCAAGCGUUAUCCGGAUUUACUGGGUGUAAAGGGUGCGUAGGUGGCAAGGCAAGUCCGAAGUGAAAAUCCGGGGCUCAACCCCGGAACUGCUUUGGAAACUGUUAGCUGGAGUACAGGAGAGGUAAGUGGAAUUCCUAGUGUAGCGGUGAAAUGCGUAGAUAUUAGGAGGAACACCAGUGGCGAAGGCGACUUACUGGACUGCUACUGACACUGAGGCACGAAAGCGUGGGGAGCAAACAGGAUUAGAUACCCUGGUAGU
rnacentral:rRNA from 1 species